rnacentral:misc_RNA from 1 species
CCGAAACCGGCUAAGCAUCCCGUGGAAAACUGCCGCGUUUCUUGCGAGAGAGCACCUGGUUGGUUUGCCCGUCCAAAAAUGGAACCAGGACGAGGCGCUGGUCCAACGAUCCUCUGUAGUCAUGAAGAAAACCCCGCGAAAGGAACGAUGCUCUUAUGCGAUGUCGGGCGAGGGGCGUCUCGCCGAGCGUUUUGCCUGUCAAAAGGCGGCGCUCGAACCAAAGCGUACCCCACUUUUCAACCCCACUAAACUCUGAAUCUGAACUGAAAAAGGAGACGUGUUCGCCGCGGUACCCCUCGAGUAGGAGGUACUACCUAGCGCCGCCUCCUCAACCUUUAACGUU